rnacentral:tRNA from 2 species
GUGGGUAUAGCGAAGUUGGUUAUCGCGUCAGAUUGUGGCUCUGAAGGCCCAGGGUUCGAAUCCCUGUACUCACC